rnacentral:lncRNA from 1 species
GGUUUUGACUAUUUUUUCCUUUUUAUUUUCUUUCCCAAGUCACACCUCUAUCAUGUUUUUCCAAGCUAGUUUAAUUGUUACCUUUUGUUGUUUUAUGUUCCAUGAAAUCAUAAACACACACAAAAGAGAAACUGAUAUUACGUCACUUUUGUGAACCAAACUGUAACUAUACGCAAAACAAACAAAGACGAUAACGAAGCAAAGCAUAACAUUACCUCAAAAACAUAAGUGUGGCCAAAGGCUUUAUUCAAUGUUGGAGUUCAAGGUGUGAAAGGUAUUAACUUCCCACCUGUUGGAUAAGAAAGAAUAAUGAGGUGUUAUUGGAUAAGAUAAUGAAUACUGAGGGGGAGCAAAGACAAAAGUGAAUGACUCACAUUACUACAUUGGCAUGAUAUGAUUCUGGCACUAGGAGAAUAAAUUCCAAAGGUCUUCACUGGAUUUCAUCAAUAUAUAACCGGUUCACACCUAUCUCACUUGCCUAUGUUUCUACCAACUUCUUUCCCAUCACUUCUGUUUCUCUUUCUGUCUACGUAUAUAUAUCACAAACUGCUAUUGGUUUAGUGCAUCUCCAACCUAAAAGUAAGUAAAAUGAUUGAUUUUGAGUUAUUCUCUUACUCGCAUGCACUAAUAAUAACAUGUGGAACCAUUUUAUAUAUAUGA